rnacentral:rRNA from 1 species
GAUGAACGCUGGCGGCGUGCCUAAUACAUGCAAGUCGAGCGAACGGACGAGAAUCUUGCUUCUCUGAUGUUAGCGGCGGACGUGUGAGUAACACGUGUAUAACCUACCUAUAAGACUGGUAUAACUUCGGGAAACCGGCUCUAAUACCAGAUAAUAUUUUGAACCGCAUGGUUCAAAAGUGAAAGACGGUCUUGCUGUCACUUAUAGAUGGAUCCGCGCUGCAUUAGCUAGUUGGUGAUGUAACGGCUUACCAAGGCAACGAUGGGUAGCCGGCCUGAGAGGGUGACCGGCCACAUUGGGACUGAGAUACGGCCCAGACGCCUACGGGAAGCAGCAGUGGGGAAUAUUGCACAAUGGGCUGAAGCGUGAUGCAGCGACGCCGCGUGCGGGAUGACGGCCUUCGGGUUGUAAACCGCUUUCGCCUGUGACGAAGCGUGAGUGAGGGUAAUGGGUAAAGAGGCACCGGCUAACUACGUG